GCGCGAAACCUCUACAAUGCACGCAAGUGUGAUAGGGUAACCCCUCGUGCCUACCGACAAGGUAGGCUUUUGUAUAGCUUAGUGCGCUAUACGAAUAAGUGGUGGGCAAGACCGGUGCCAGCAGCCGCGGUAAUCCCGGCGCCACAAGUGGAAGUCACUUCUAUUGGGUCUAAAGUAUUCGUAGCCGUUUUUAUAAGUUUCUUGUGAAAGCCCUGUAGCUUAACUCAGGAAUUGCAAGAAAUACUGUAAAAAUUGGGACUGGGAGAGGUAUGAGGUAUUGUUUGGGUAGCGGUAAAAUGUUAUAAUCCUUACAAGACCAACUAAUGCGAAGGCAUCAUACUUGAACAGAUCCGACGGUGAGGAAUGAGAGCUGGGGGAGCAAACCGG
rnacentral:rRNA from 1 species